rnacentral:rRNA from 1 species
UACGGAGGGAGCUAGCGUUAUUCGGAAUUACUGGGCGUAAAGCGCACGUAGGCGGCUUUGUAAGUUAGAGGUGAAAGCCUGGAGCUCAACUCCAGAACUGCCUUUAAGACUGCAUCGCUUGAAUCCAGGAGAGGUGAGUGGAAUUCCGAGUGUAGAGGUGAAAUUCGUAGAUAUUCGGAAGAACACCAGUGGCGAAGGCAGCUCGCUGGGACGGUACGUGACGCUGAGGUGCGAAAGCGUGGGGAGCGAACAGG